CGUCGAAGGUGGGGCUGAUGACUGGGGUGAAGUCGUAACAAGGUAUCCGUACCGGAAGGUGCGGAUGGAUCACCUCCUAACAGGGAGACAACACAAUGAUUUUGAUGCCUGAGUAUUUUUAUUCUUAGGCCGAAAUCCUGUCACCUUAGGUCGAUCGGUACCUCAGCUUUGAAGUUAAGAAUCAGCAGCAAUGUUGAUUGCUUGAUGGAGAUUUUCAGUUCCUAAACUUUGUCUAGGUCACACCCCAAAAGGGAUGAGACUCCUGGGCCAUUAGCUCAGGUGGUUAGAGCGCACCCCUGAUAAGGGUGAGGUCCCUGGUUCAAGUCCAGGAUGGCCCAUUCGGUGUUGGGGGUUUAGCUCAGUUGGUAGAGCGCCUGCUUUGCAAGCAGGAUGUCAGGAGUUCGAGUCUCCUAACCUCCACUGACCGAACUUUAUCCCCCCUCCAUUCAAUGGAGUUGAGCUCGAUUGGUGUGUGAUUUAGAUGUGUCCGCUGGAUGACCCCAGCUUCCUGUCAUUCCAAGUUUUAAGUUCAAAGCUUUGAAUUUGGUUGAUAAGAUGCUGGGCUCGGAUCAAAUGAUCAAGUAAUUGAUGAUUUGAUUUGAAGUUCUAGCAGAACCUUGACAACUGCAUAGGUGAAGUCUGGAAAAACAAAGCAUCUUACAGAUGCAUUGUUUUGAGUCUAAUUUUCUGAAAGGAAGAUUAGACCCAGAACAAUGAAAAUUCUUUUGAGCAAGAGCCGAGACUCUUGAAUGUUCUUUGAUUCGUGUCGAGCGAAUCAGAGUUUGAUCUUGUUUUUAGCAAUAAAAACUUGAGAAUCUGCUUUCAACGGCGGUAAGCGUUCAAGAGGUUAAUUGGUCAAGCUACAAAGGGCUC
rnacentral:misc_RNA from 1 species